AAAAUUUAUCGAAGCUGGCAGUUGCAAAUAAGGAAUUUACGCAACGAGGGAAUGAUCUGUAUGAGGGAAUGCGAUGUGAUAAAGGCAUGGUAUGCGAAUGCAACGGCUCCGUGUUACACUUAGUUGAAAAUACGAAAAGGUUACAAGUGCACGAAACGAUCGCCAGUGAACAGGCGACUCUUUCUACUAUACAAAGCGAGAAAUACAAUUUCAAGGGAUCGCGUUAUAUACAGGGUCAACGACCGUUUUCACGAAGCGUAUCGACUACCUACCGAUUGCCUCGCCAAAUGAAUUAAACGUUACGAUUUAUGUAAAAAGAAAUUUA
rnacentral:misc_RNA from 1 species